UAGGGGAAUCUUCCACAAUGGACGAAAGUCUGAUGGAGCAACGCCGCGUGAGUGAAGAAGGGUUUCGGCUCGUAAAACUCUGUUGUUAAAGAAGAACAUAUCUGAGAGUAACUGCUCAGGUAUUGACGGUAUUUAACCAGAAAGCCACGGCUAACUACGUGCCAA
rnacentral:rRNA from 1 species